UACGGAGGGUGCAAACGUUGUUCGGAAUCAUUGGGCGUAAGGAGCGUGUAGGCGGUCAGGUAAGUCAGAUGUGAAAGCCCUGGGCUCAACCCAGGAAGUGCAUUUGAAACUACCUAACUUGAGUACGGGAGAGGAAGGGGGAAUUCCCGGUGUAGAGGUGAAAUUCGUAGAUAUCGGGAGGAAUACCGGUGGCGAAGGCGCCCUUCUGGACUGAUACUGACGCUGAGACGCGAAAGCGUGGGGAGCAAACAGG
rnacentral:misc_RNA from 1 species